rnacentral:ncRNA from 2 species
AACGGACACUCUGGAAAGCGUUCCGGCCGAUUCUGCCGGAACCACCGAAGGGGUAACUCCAUGAAAUCAUGGAGGAAAACUCUCAGGUUCCCGUGACAGAGGGGGCAUG